rnacentral:rRNA from 1 species
CGGACGGGUGAGUAACGCGUGAGAAUCUGCCCUCAGGACGGGGACAACAGCUGGAAACGGCUGCUAAUACCCGAUGUGCCGAGAGGUGAAAUGUAAUUCGCCUGAGGAUGAGCUCGCGUCUGAUUAGCUAGUUGGUAGGGUAAGAGCCUACCAAGGCGACGAUCAGUAGCUGGUCUGAGAGGAUGAUCAGCCACACUGGGACUGAGACACGGCCCAGACUCCUACGGGAGGCAGCAGUGGGGAAUUUUCCGCAAUGGGCGCAAGCCUGACGGAGCAAGACCGCGUGCGGGAUGAAGGUCUGUGGACUGUAAACCGCUUUUGAUAGGGAAGAACACAAUGACGGUACCUAUCGAACCAGCCUCGGCUAACUCCGUGCCAGCAGCCGCGGUAAUACGGAGGAGGCAAGCGUUAUCCGGAAUUAUUGGGCGUAAAGCGUCCGUAGGUGGUGAUGCAAGUCUAUUGUCAAAGCAUGAGGCUUAACCUCAUACCGGCAGUGGAAACUGCAUUGCUAGAGUGCGAUAGGGGCAAGGGGAAUUCCCAGUGUAGCGGUGAAAUGCGUAGAUAUUGGGAAGAACAUCGGUGGCGAAAGCGCCUUGCUGGGUCUGCACUGACACUGAGGGACGAAAGCUAGGGGAGCGAAAGGGAUUAGAUACCCCUGUAGUC